rnacentral:rRNA from 1 species
UGGGAACGUACCCUUUGGUUCGGAACAACCCAGGGAAACUUGGGCUAAUACCGGAUACGUCCGUAAGGAGAAAGAUUUAUCGCCAAAGGAUCGGCCCGCGCCUGAUUAGCUUGUUGGUGAGGUAACGGCUCACCAAGGCUACGAUCAGUAGCUGGUCUGAGAGGAUGAUCAGCCACACUGGGACUGAGACACGGCCCAGACUCCUACAGGAGGCAG